UGCUGCUUGCAGACCGUCCCAGAAGGUGGUGGUAGCUAGCAGUCAGCAGAGGGCAAUAGAGAAAUACGGUUUGUGAUACCUACAGGGUCUGAAGCCCUGAUUAUGUGUUUACAAAAAAAAAAAAAAAGAAAAAAAAAAAAAAGAAAAAAAAAAAAAAAAAAAAGGAAUGAAAAAGAAGAAAAGAAGAGCCAGGAGGAUAGGUUGCUCAGUUUACUACUGAAGACCUGGCUGUGACAGACCACCGGGAAAACAACAUUUUCAGAGAAAGGAAAGGAGACCUUCUGUAGCAUCUCUCCGAGUCUCUCCUUUUUUUCUUCAGAGUUACAUAGGAUAACUUAGCCAGAACUUACUGAUGACUGCCCGCUCGGCGCACUCCGGCAUGGAUGGGGAGAUGCAGGAAAGCACUCUUUGCACCGAACAGAAGAGGAGGCAUUUCAAAGAUCCUGCAGGUGACCGAGGUGAUGAUCUGCUGCCAGAACAAAUAAAUCCUAGGAAGUGCCAAGACUGCUCAGCCAUUUGUGGCGAUACCACUCCCACAUAAGGAACCUGUAUCAUCACCUUUUUUCAAGCAGCUUCUCUUCUUCUGUGAUUGACACAUAGGUUGAAUUCAAAAGUGCAGGAAAAGAGCUCUGUCUGCGAAAGGAGCCUGCACUCCAGAGGGUUUGCUCUAAACUAUUGUGAGACCUCCGGCUACAACACAGGACAUGGGAGCUUUUCUGAACCCUCGUGUCUUGUGUUGCAGCCAGAGGGGCACAUCUUUUCAACUGAGUCUGAGACAAGUAGAAGAAACCAACAUGAAAGAGAUGAAAAGAGAGUGAGAGACAGGUACGGGCAUGGGACUUCACUGAACGUCUGAGAGAAGCAGACUCAGGAAUGUGAUCCUUGGCAUUAGCCUUUGGAGCUUGCUCCUAGAUCCAGAGAUGUCAGAUUUCUGCCAGUUCUUGCAUGCUGAUUGAGAGAUUUGAAUCAGGUAGUAAAAGUUGUUGUGUUUACAAUGCCACUGGCAUUGGUCUUUUUGUUUCUGUGAGUUUGACUAGCAUUACUGAAUUAACCUCUAGAUGGUUUGCAGGUAUUUCAUGAACUGCCCAUUUGAAACUCAGCUCUUCGGUUUCUGUACUUCAGCAGUUGUGGGCAUGAGAUUUCAGGAAGAAUAGAGUUAAGUAACCUCGCAUACUCUGAGCAGAGAACAUGCCUGUUCUUAGCUUUUUUUUUUUUUUUUUUUUUUUUUUUUUUUUUUUUCUCACUGGGCCAACUUUUCCCCUUCUUCAAGAUCUGACUUCAGUGUGAGCCCAGCUCGAGGAGGUGCUGCAACAUGUUUCCUGUGGUUUGGCUUAGCUUUGCUGCUUGUUCAAAAUAUUGCAUGCCAGUAUGUUCCAUCUAAUCAAUUAUUAAUGUUUACUCAACUGAACUCUUCCUUUUUAAUACUUCAUUAGACUGGAUAUACUGGGAUAUAACGUUUUAAAUAUCUGCAUUUAAAAAUGCUUAUGCCACUGAGAUACCCAGAAGGUGACUUUGAAUUUGUAUUUUGGAUUGUUAAAAUAACAUGAGAAAUUAAAAAUGUUCUGGUUCCAGUCCUGCCAUUUUCUACAUCUUGUAGGAAGCAGCAAAGACGUGUUGACAUGUCUUUGCAACAACAUGCGACAAGAAAUAUGGCUGAGUUUUGGGAUAAGGUCUGAAAAAAAUUAGAUUAUGUUUCCAGGCUGUCUAUGAACAUUCAGACUCUGUCCCAUUCUGUAUUCUUCAAUUUCAGUGGCAAUACACACAAAACAAAGCUCUUCUCAAGGGAUUAAGAACAGCAGAAGCUGGUCCUUGGAUUUCAUCACAAGAGUGAUUGUUUUAGAAGAUUCCCUUACCUGAUAAAUAAUGUGGUUUUGUAGUCAGUUUUAGAUUGCUAUUUCCCAUGGGACAAACAAAAAAGCAGUUAUAAGAAAGGUAAAUAAAUAUUCUCACCUUCACUUCUCUGAUCAGACUCAGUGUUUCCUGCACAGUUUGUGUAGCUAUCAUUUAAAUGAGAGUGAGCGAGCUUUCAUUCAGCAAGCAUCCUUCUAGUUCAGUGCUGCUGGCUUAGUUUUCAACGCCAUUCACAGUAUUCAGUGUGAUCUUUUGUGCAAGUCAGUGGAAAGAAUUUGCAAAAUAACGCCUGGCAGACAGAUGAUCCAGUGCCGUCCACUGCCCCACUGGGUUGAAAAGCCCAGUUGUCACCUUCCCUACCCCUCACAUCUCUUUCAAUCCCAGGAGCAUGAAAGCUGAUAUUUGAAAACUCGUGUGAGAGAAAUUGAGCAUCCCACUAUUCCACUAUUCUCAAAUACAUAUAAUGUUCAGAAGUUUUCUGAGGAAAAAGGGAGUGAGAAAGGCUUCCCGGUCCCAGUGGAGGAGAGAACCUCCCACCUUGGAGGAGAGAACACUUCAAGAAAAACAGGGAUAUGUAUGCUUGUGUAGAGAUGCGGAGGUCUGGGUACAAGUCCCUGCAGUUCCACUGGCUUCAUAAAGCUACACCAGCUUACUUCAGCCCGAGCAUUUUACUAAGGGAUUUCCCCCCUUUUAAAGUAUCCCAUACAGCAAAAGUUCCAAGAGUUUUGCAACUAUUCAAACUCAAGGAUGUACUUUGGGGGAAGGGUGAGAGGUAUUAGUGAUAUGCAUUAAAAUUCUUUGCUUCCUAUUGCAUACACGAAGCAUGUAUGCACUAGAAACACAAAGCAAAUAGUUUGUCAGUAAGAUACCGUGUGAUAGGGGUAUUUUUUUGCUCUGGAAUCUACCAGCUAAACUGUACCAGUGAAUAAGAUUUUUGGAAGUAGUUAGCCAUCAGACUGUAGCCAAAUCCUUGGUUUAAAAGGAAAAAAAAAAAAAAAAAAAAAAAAAAAACAGUUAAGUAUAGUUUAAUUUUUUUUUUCCAGGAAGUAUUAUUAUUAUAAACUGUAAUUAGUGGUUUUAACCCAGCAGUAUUUCAUUUCUCUUACAGGAGAAGAAGGUUCCUAGCUGAGUAUCUUUGUUAGAGCUGUCAGUGUCUGCAUUCACAAAAGGAAAAGAGCUGUGAUCAAAAACGGGUAAUUUCUUGGCAGUUUAGGUGCACACCCUGCCAAUCAAGAAAGCCUAGGCCUCCUAAUGAUAUUAAAAUAAUAGAAAAUGGAAUUUUGUCAAACAUUCAGGUGUUUUUCAGAGAACCCAUUUGCUCAAGUGAGAAGUUUAUUUGUUGGUGAUGGCUGAAUAUUUAAUUACGGUAGCUGUGCUAAAUAUCACUGCUGGCACUUGAGAUAGAUUUAGCUCUGUCUCAGAAAACACAGCAAUUAAAAUUCAGCACUGUAACAUAACGUAACUGAUAAUAGGUAUAGGGCUGAGGAAGGCUUGAGAUUUUGCCAAACGUGCUAUAGAAACCAUAGAUGAAGCAUGAAAAUGGUAGAUUUUUCUGCCUCUGCUAGUCAGAGCCCUUAGUCUGCUCCACCAGUGCAGCAUGCAGCAGAUUUUCAAGGGGAUGUAGAGGAGUUAGGUGCCUCUGACAGUAAUGAUCGCUACAGCAUUAGUCUUGCUGUCUAUAAUUUACCUGCUUCGUAAGUUUUGCCUCAAAUAAUGAAAUGAAACUUAGUCCUGAAACUUAGUCCUGAACAGACCCAUGGCAUUGCGUUCAAAGGCUCUUUUCUUUCUCCUGCCCUUCCACAUGCCAUGUGCAUAUCUCAUGUGAAUCCUGAACGAGCGUGGGGUUCCCACUUGGUUUGGCUUCUUGAACAAAUCAGCAUCAGUGGACACAAUCCUGAUAGCUCUCCCCGUAGGGGCUGUGAUUUCAUAUAGUACUCCCAGAUGGUGAUAGAGGAGGAGAGUCCAUGCGGGUUGCUAAAUCUAAAAGUUUAUCCCAAGCAUGCCCGAAAACUCAACCUGUUGAACUCUAUCAAGGCCUGGACCCUAAGACGGUGCCAGAAGAGAGCACGCAGCAGAAUGCAAGCACAUCACUCCUGGAUGUAUUUUUAACACUGCUAAGUCAUAUUCAGGAAAGCAAACACAGCACAUCUUCAAGGGCAAACUGGGUAGGCAAUGUCUGCUUGGCACAUACUGUCUAACUUUGCUGGAAGAAACCUGAUUUACAACAUGUAUGGAGAAAGCCUGCAUUGUUAUGGGCUCUGAACUUCCCAGGAGUUGCAUUAACCUUGAAAAAGCGAUGUAAUGAAGAAGUAUCCUUGUCCUCAUUUAAGCUCUGUUUAUGCUUUGAAAGUCACACACAAUUCACUGAAAGAGUUCCUCCAUCCCUCCUCAAACAGGGAAUGUAUUGAUUGUCAGAGCUCCAAGCUGACAGUAUGAAGAAGUGACUUACCCCGUUGAUCCAUACAGCAGUGGCAGUGGAUAAGUUCCCUCAGCCAGUGAGCCGCUUGGAAAGCAAAGGGGCUGGUCAUGUUUGCGGGCUGAUUCAUCCUGUGAUCACUGUGUAGGAAAUGCUAACAAGACUGGCAAUUUAUUCAAGCCAAAAAAGAAAUAGAAAUAAAAUUAAAACUCUUAUCUUUCAUUUACAGCA